GACGAACGCUGGCGGCGUGCUUGACACAUGCAAGUCGAACGGAAAGGCCUGCUUUCCCUUGUGGAUUGCGGGUACUCGAGUGGCGAACGGGUGAGUAACACGUGAGUGAUCUGCCCCCAACUUGGGUAUAAGCCUGGGAAACUGGGUCUAAUUCCCGAUAGGACUGCAGGGUGGUUCCUGUGGUGGACAACGAUUUUCUAGUGGUUGGGGAUGAGCUCGCGGCCUAUCAGCUUGUUGGUGGGGUAAUGGCCUACCAAGGCGGCGACGGGUAGCCGGCCUGAGAGGGUGGACGGCCACAUUGAGACUGGGACACGGCCCAGACUCCUACGGGAGGCAGCAGUGGGGAAUAUUGCACAAUGGGCGGAAGCCUGAUGCAGCGACGCCGCGUAGGGGAUGACGGCCUUCGGGUUGUAAACUCCUUUCGACCGCGAGGAAGCCACCUGGUUGGAAGGGUGGUGACGGUAGUGGUAGAAGAAGCACCGGCUAACUACGUG
rnacentral:rRNA from 1 species